rnacentral:tRNA from 1 species
AGUCUAUUAGCUCAGAAGUAGAGCAACGCCCUUACAAGGCGAAGGUCGGGAUAGCAUAAUUCUCAUAGACUA